rnacentral:rRNA from 1 species
AGAUGUAGCAAUACAUCGAAAGUGGCGAACGGGUGAGUAACACGUAAGUAAUCUGCCUCUAAGAUUGGGAUAACCCUGCCAACGCGGGGCUAAUGCCGGAUGUGGUCCUUGUAACGCAUGUUGUGAGGAUUAAAGGAGCAAUCCACUUAGAGAUGAACUUGCGGCCCAUUAGCUAGUUGGCGGGGUAAUGGCCCACCAAGGCAACGAUGGGUAGCCGGCCUGAGAGGGUGUACGGCCACAUUGGGACUGAGAUACGGCCCAGACUCCUACGGGAGGCAGCAGUAGGGAAUUUUGCGCAAUGGACGAAAGUCUGACGCAGCAACGCCGCGUGAAGGAUGAAGGCCCUCGGGUUGUAAACUUCUGUUGGAUGGGAAAAAAAUACUAGCAAUAGUACUGAUGGUACCAUUCGAGUAAGCACCGGCUAACUACGUGCCAGCAGCCGCGGUAAUACGUAGGGUGCAAGCGUUGUUCGGAAUCACUGGGCGUAAAGAGAGCGUAGGCGGGAUUGUAAGUUAGAAGUUUAAUGCAUGGGCUUAACCCAUGAUCUGCUUUUAAUACUGCGGUUCUUGAGUAUGGGAGAGGGCGAUGGAAUUCCAGGUGUAGCGGUGGAAUGCGUGGAUAUCUGGAAGAACACCAGUAGCGAAGGCGGUCGCCUGGCCCAAUACUGACGCUGAGGCUCGAAAGCUAGGGGAGCAAACAGGAUUAGAUACCCUGGUAGUCCUAGCCGUAAACGAUGAACACUAGUUGCUGGGGGAGUCAAUCUUUUCAGUGACGAAGC